rnacentral:lncRNA from 1 species
CAAAAAGCAGGAAAUGACAAGCCACCCAGAAGCCUUCAUCAUGCCACUUCCAAUCACUAUCUCUUGAUUCACAGCUAACGACUUUCUGAUUUCUAUCACCAUAGAUUAUUUUUGCCAGUUCUUGAAUGUCAUAUAAAUGGAAUUAUACAUUAUUAUUCUUUUGGGUCUGGCUUCUUUUACUUACCAUAAUGUUUUUGAGAUCCAUCCUUGUUACCUUAUGUGUCAGUAGUUUGUUCUUUUUCCAUACUAUUCACUAUUCCUUUUGUAUAAAUAUAACACAGUUGUUAAUCCAUUCCCCUGCUGGUGGAUAUUCCAUUUUAGCUAUUACAAAUAAUGCUUCUGUGAGUAUUCUUGUGCAUGUGUUGGUGAACAUAUGUGUGCAUUUCCAUUGGAUAUAUACCUAAGAGUGGAGUUGCUGGAUCCUAGGUUAGGUGUAUCAUCUACCUCUUGCAGAUGAGAUAAGUUAGAUAAACUAACUUAGAUGUUAAUUUAGAUGUUCAGCUUUAGUAGAUUCUACCAAUCUGUUAAGUGCCUACACCAUUUUACUUCCACCAACAAUGUAUGAGAGCUUCAGUUGCUCUACAUCCGGCCAACACUUGGAAGGAAAUUGGAAGGGUAGCAGAUCCAGGAUUUAGGGGGAGAAAGACUCAAAUAGAAUGCAAAUAGCUGGGCCUGGUGGGGUGGCUCACGCCUGUAAUCCCAGUACUUUGGGAGGCCGAGGCGGGUGGAUCACCAGGUCAGGAGUUUGAGACCAGCCUGACCAACAUGGUGAAACUCCGACUCUAAAUAACUCCUUUUGAGUUUUUGGGAUGU